AGAGCUGCGGUGCCUGGCGGAGGAGCUGAGCCGCUGCCAGGUGGCAGACCAUGUCUGACAAAAUAUUUGACACGGAAGUACAUCUGAGGCGAAGGCUGACAAAGAAUUUGUGUGGUCUCUUUGGAAGCGUCUCCAGGUAUCAAAUCCAGACCUUACACAAGCUAUCAGUUUAGCAGUAGAAAGAGAAAAGCAGAAAGCUGAAGUCAAGGACAGAAAG
rnacentral:lncRNA from 1 species